rnacentral:lncRNA from 1 species
AUCCCAGCUCUGCCCCUCAUCAGCAAGGUGACCCUGGACAAGUUCCUCAGCCGCUGUGAGCUCAGUUCCUUCAUCUGUGAAAUGGAGAGAACAGUAACUACUUCACAUGGAGUAGAUGAGAUGCAACAUGUAACCUGCUUAACACAGAGUGCGACAUGUCCUAACCAUGAGAAGAUAGUCAACGGUGGCCAUGAAGAUGACACGCAAGGGAAAAGCUGAACGAUUUGGGAAGAGGAUUUCUUCAUGAGCUUGGAA